CCGAGUUUACAACUCCCAAACCCCUGUGAACAUACCUAUCGUUGCUUCGGCGGGAUCGCCCCGGCGCCCCCGGGCCCGGACCCAGGCGCCCGCCGGAGGACCCAAAACUCUUGUUUUGUGGAUGUAUCUUCUGAGUUAAACAAGCAAAUAAAAUCA
rnacentral:misc_RNA from 1 species